GACGAACGCUGGCGGCGUGCUUAACGCAUGCAAGUCGAACGGAAAGGCCCUGCUUGCAGGGUAUUCUAGUGGCGCACGGGUGUGUAACACGUGUGUGUUCUGCCCUGUACUUUGGGAUAAGACUGGGGAACUGGGUCUAUUAUCGCGUAUGAGCGAUCCUUCGUGUGAUGGUUGGAAGGAUUUUUGGGUGUGGUGUGAGCUCGCGGCCUAUUUGCUUGUUUGUUGGGUAAUGGCCUACCAAGGAGGCGAUGGGCAGCCGGCCUGAGAGGGUGGACGGCCACAAUAGGACUGAGAUACGGGCCAGACUCCCACGGGGGGCAAGAGUGGGGGAUAUUGCACAAAGGGGGCAAGCCUGAUGCAACGAAGCCCCGUGGGGGAAGAAGGCCUUCGGGUUGGUAACUCGUUUCCGUAGGGACGAAGCCUUGUGUGACGGUAACUAGAUAAGAAGCACCGGCUAACUACGUG
rnacentral:rRNA from 1 species